rnacentral:rRNA from 1 species
ACUGCUCAGUAACACGUGGACAACCUACCCUAUGGAGGGGGAUAAUCCCGGGAAACUGGGGAUAAUACCCCAUAGACUAUGGAUGCUGGAAUGCUCUGUAGUUAAAAGGUCCGCCGCCAUAGGAUGGGUCUGCGGCCGAUUAGGUUGUUGUUGGGGUAACGGCCCAACAAGCCUGUAAUCGGUACGGGUUGUGGGAGCAAGAGCCCGGAGAUGGAUUCUGAGACACGAAUCCAGGCCCUACGGGGCGCAGCAGGCGCGAAAACUUUACAAUGCGGGAAACCGUGAUAGGGGAACUCUGAGUGCCCGUAAAAUCGGGCUGUCCAUCAGUUUAAAUAACUGGUGAAGAAAGGGCCGGGCAAGACCGGUGCCAGCCGCCGCGGUAAUACCGGCGGCUCGAGUGGUGGCCACUAUUACUGGGCUUAAAGCGUUCGUAGCUGGCUUGUUAAGUCCCUGGGGAAAUCUUCCGGCUCAACCGGAAGGCGUCUCAGGGAUACUGGCAGGCUAGGGACCGGGAGAGGUGAGGGGUACUCCAGGGGUAGGAGUGAAAUCCUGUAAUCCUUGGGGGACCACCUGUGGCGAAGGCGCCUCACCAGAACGGCUCCGACAGUGAGGGACGAAAGCUGGGGGAGCAAACCGGAUUAGAUACCCGGGUAGUCCCAGCUGUAAACGAUGCACGUUAGGUGUAUCGGUGACCACGAGUCACUGAGGUGCCGAAGAGAAAUCGUGAAACGUGCCGCCUGGGAAGUACGGUCGCAAGGCUGAAACUUAAAGGAAUUGGCGGGGGAGCAC